GUACACAAAAAUGCACAUAUUGUGAGCUCGAUGAGUAGGGCGGGACACGUGGUAUCCUGUCUGAAUAUGGGGGGACCAUCCUCCAAGGCUAAAUACUCCUGACUGACCGAUAGUGAACCAGUACCGUGAGGGAAAGGCGAAAAGAACCCCGGCGAGGGGAGUGAAAAAGAACCUGAAACCGUGUACGUACAAGCAGUGGGAGCCUCUUUAUGGGGUGACUGCGUACCUUUUGUAUAAUGGGUCAGCGACUUAUAUUCUGUAGCAAGGUUAACCGAAUAGGGGAGCCGAAGGGAAACCGAGUCUUAACUGGGCGUUAAGUUGCAGGGUAUAGACCCGAAACCCGGUGAUCUAGCCAUGGGCAGGUUGAAGGUUGGGUAACACUAACUGGAGGACCGAACCGACUAAUGUUGAAAAAUUAGCGGAUGACUUGUGGCUGGGGGUGAAAGGCCAAUCAAACCGGGAGAUAGCUGGUUCUCCCCGAAAGCUAUUUAGGUAGCGCCUCGUGAAUUCAUCUCCGGGGGUAGAGCACUGUUUCGGCAAGGGGGUCAUCCCGACUUACCAACCCGAUGCAAACUGCGAAUACCGGAGAAUGUUAUCACGGGAGACACACGGCGGGUGCUAACGUCCGUCGUGAAGAGGGAAACAACCCAGACCGCCAGCUAAGGUCCCAAAGUCAUGGUUAAGUGGGAAACGAUGUGGGAAGGCCCAGACAGCCAGGAUGUUGGCUUAGAAGCAGCCAUCAUUUAAAGAAAGCGUAAUAGCUCACUGGUCGAGUCGGCCUGCGCGGAAGAUGUAACGGGGCUAAACCAUGCACCGAAGCUGCGGCAGCGACACUAUGUGUUGUUGGGUAGGGGAGCGUUCUGUAAGCCUGUGAAGGUGGCCUGUGAGGGUUGCUGGAGGUAUCAGAAGUGCGAAUGCUGACAUAAGUAACGAUAAAGCGGGUGAAAAGCCCGCUCGCCGGAAGACCAAGGGUUCCUGUCCAACGUUAAUCGGGGCAGGGUGAGUCGACCCCUAAGGCGAGGCCGAAAGGCGUAGUCGAUGGGAAACAGGUUAAUAUUCCUGUACUUGGUGUUACUGCGAAGGGGGGACGGAGAAGGCUAUGUUGGCCGGGCGACGGUUGUCCCGGUUUAAGCGUGUAGGCUGGUUUUCCAGGCAAAUCCGGAAAACCAAGGCUGAGGCGUGAUGACGAGGCACUACGGUGCUGAAGCGACAAAUGCCCUGCUUCCAGGAAAAGCCUCUAAGCAUCAGGUAACAUCAAAUCGUACCCCAAACCGACACAGGUGGUCAGGUAGAGAAUACCAAGGCGCUUGAGAGAACUCGGGUGAAGGAACUAGGCAAAAUGGUGCCGUAACUUCGGGAGAAGGCACGCUGAUAUGUAGGUGAAGCGACUUGCUCGUGGAGCUGAAAUCAGUCGAAGAUACCAGCUGGCUGCAACUGUUUAUUAAAAACACAGCACUGUGCAAACACGAAAGUGGACGUAUACGGUGUGACGCCUGCCCGGUGCCGGAAGGUUAAUUGAUGGGGUUAGCGGUAACGCGAAGCUCUUGAUCGAAGCCCCGGUAAACGGCGGCCGUAACUAUAACGGUCCUAAGGUAGCGAAAUUCCUUGUCGGGUAAGUUCCGACCUGCACGAAUGGCGUAAUGAUGGCCAGGCUGUCUCCACCCGAGACUCAGUGAAAUUGAACUCGCUGUGAAGAUGCAGUGUACCCGCGGCAAGACGGAAAGACCCCGUGAACCUUUACUAUAGCUUGACACUGAACAUUGAGCCUUGAUGUGUAGGAUAGGUGGGAGGCUUUGAAGUGUGGACGCCAGUCUGCAUGGAGCCGACCUUGAAAUACCACCCUUUAAUGUUUGAUGUUCUAACGUUGGCCCGUAAUCCGGGUUGCGGACAGUGUCUGGUGGGUAGUUUGACUGGGGCGGUCUCCUCCUAAAGAGUAACGGAGGAGCACGAAGGUUGGCUAAUCCUGGUCGGACAUCAGGAGGUUAGUGCAAUGGCAUAAGCCAGCUUGACUGCGAGCGUGACGGCGCGAGCAGGUGCGAAAGCAGGUCAUAGUGAUCCGGUGGUUCUGAAUGGAAGGGCCAUCGCUCAACGGAUAAAAGGUACUCCGGGGAUAACAGGCUGAUACCGCCCAAGAGUUCAUAUCGACGGCGGUGUUUGGCACCUCGAUGUCGGCUCAUCACAUCCUGGGGCUGAAGUAGGUCCCAAGGGUAUGGCUGUUCGCCAUUUAAAGUGGUACGCGAGCUGGGUUUAGAACGUCGUGAGACAGUUCGGUCCCUAUCUGCCGUGGGCGCUGGAGAACUGAGGGGGGCUGCUCCUAGUACGAGAGGACCGGAGUGGACGCAUCACUGGUGUUCGGGUUGUCAUGCCAAUGGCACUGCCCGGUAGCUAAAUGCGGAAGAGAUAAGUGCUGAAAGCAUCUAAGCACGAAACUUGCCCCGAGAUGAGUUCUCCCUGAGACUUAGAGUCUCCUGAAGGAACGUUGAAGACGACGACGUUGAUAGGCCGGGUGUGUAAGCGCAGCGAUGCGUUGAGCUAACCGGUACUAAUGAACCGUGAG
rnacentral:rRNA from 1 species